rnacentral:rRNA from 1 species
GAACGCUGGCGGCGUGCUUAACACAUGCAAGUCGAACGAUGAUCCGGUGCUUGCACCGGGGAUUAGUGGCGAACGGGUGAGUAACACGUGAGUAACCUGCCCUUAACUCUGGGAUAAGCCUGGGAAACUGGGUCUAAUACCGGAUAUGACUCCUCAUCGCAUGGUGGGGGGUGGAAAGCUUUUUGUGGUUUUGGAUGGACUCGCGGCCUAUCAGCUUGUUGGUGAGGUAAUGGCUCACCAAGGCGACGACGGGUAGCCGGCCUGAGAGGGUGACCGGCCACACUGGGACUGAGACACGGCCCAGACUCCUACGGGAGGCAGCAGUGGGGAAUAUUGCACAAUGGGCGCAAGCCUGAUGCAGCGACGCCGCGUGAGGGAUGACGGCCUUCGGGUUGUAAACCUCUUUCAGUAGGGAAGAAGCGAAAGUG